AGUGAACGCUGGCGGUAUGCCUAACACAUGCAAGUCGAACGGCAGCACAGUAAGAGCUUGCUCUUACGGGUGGCGAGUGGCGGACGGUUGAGGUAUACAUCGGAAUCUACUUUUUCGUGGGGGCUAACGUAGGGAAACUUACGCUGAUACCGCAUACGUCCUCCGGGUGAAAGCAGGGGAUCUUCGGACCUUGCGCUAUUGAAUGAGCCGAUGUCGGAUGCGCUAGUUGGCGGGGUAGAGGCCCACCAAGGCGACGAUCGGUAGAUGGUAUGAGAGGAUGAUUACCUACACGGGAACAGAGAAAGGGCACAGACUCUGAAGGGAGGAAGCAGUGGGGAAUAUUGGACAAGGGGGGCAAGCCUGAUCCAGCAAUACGGCGUGGGUGAAGAACGCGUUCGGGUGGUAAAGUCAUUUUGUCGGGAGAGAAAAGCAGCAGGUUAAUACGCCGCUGUUCUGACGGUACCCAAAGAAUAAGCACCGGCUAACUUCGUG
rnacentral:rRNA from 1 species